ACCGGCGCACGGGUGCGUAACGCGUAUACAAUCUACCUUUUGCUGAGGGAUAGCCCAGAGAAAUUUGGAUUAAUACCUCAUAGUAUAUUAGAGCCUCAUGGUUUAAAUAUUAAAGGUUACGGCAGAAGAUGAGUAUGCGUCCUAUUAGCUAGAUGGUAAGGUAACGGCUUACCAUGGCAACGAUAGGUAGGGGCCCUGAGAGGGGGAUCCCCCACACUGGUACUGAGACACGGACCAGACUCCUACGGGAGGCAGCAGUGAGGAAUAUUGGACAAUGGAGGCAACUCUGAUCCAGCCAUGCCGCGUGCAGGAUGACUGCCCUAUGGGUUGUAAACUGCUUUUAUACAGGAAGAAACACUGCUACGUGUAGCAGCUUGACGGUACUGUAAGAAUAAGGAUCGGCUAACUCCGUG
rnacentral:rRNA from 1 species